AUGCAAAUCAAAACCAUAAUUGGAUACCACCUUACAUCAGUUAGAGAAUGGAUUGAUUUACUCCAAUGGGCGGCAGUGGCAAACUUUCUUUAUGCCGAAAUAGGACUCAUUUUAAUCUUCUGCUUACCUUUUAUUCCUCCUCAGAGAUGGCAGAAGAUUUUUUCACUUAAUGUCUGGGGUAAAAUUGCAACUUUUUGGAAAAAGCCUUUCCUUACUAUUAUCGUCCUAUUGAUUGUUCUAUUUCUAGAUGCUGUGUGAGAAGUAGGGAAAUAUUCCUCAGUUCAUACCAUUUGGAAGAGUUCCACCAGCAGACCUGAUGCAUAUGAACACACACAGAUGAAACUUUUUAGGUCUCAAAGAAAUCUUUACAUUUCUGGAUUUUCUCUAUUUUUUUUGGCUAGUGUUGAGAUGUCUGGUUACGCUUAUUACUCAACUGGCAAAAGAACUGUUAAACAAAGGUGUACUUAAAACUCAAGCAGAAAAUACUAACAAGGCUGACAAAAAAUUUUUGGAAGAAAAUGAAAAACUAAAACAGAUUUUGAAAAGCCAUGGUAAUAAUGAAGAAUGUGUUUGGGAAGCAGAAAAUAAAAAACUAGUAGAAGACCAGGAGAAACUGAAAACUGAAUUAAGGAAGACUUCAGAUGCCCUUUCUAAGGCACAAAAUGAUGUGAUGGCAAUGAAGAUGCAAUCGGAGAGACUUUCAAAAGAAUAUGAUCAACUCCUGAAAGAACACUCUGAACUUCAGGAUUGUUUAGGAAGACGCAACAAGAAAAGACUCAGACCUUUAUGAAAGAUGCUUGCGAUAUACCAUGUCAAAAUAAUAAAUUUCUUAUGUUAGCAUCUAGAAAAUUUAAAAUGAAGUUCAGAAAAAUGUACUAUGACCUGUCAGUUAUUUUUUUAAUGCCACACAUAGGUUGUAUUGUAAAGGCAUUAUCAAAAUAUUUGAUGAGGUUUCAGAUAUAUUGUAAAGUCUGUAUUCCACCUCUUAAGAAAUAUAUAAGCAUGUUAAAUACCAUAUUUACAUAUUGAUAAUGACACUGGUAUAUGGUGGCUGUAUAAAAGGAAAAAAUUCAUUAGCUGGUUACUUUCAAAAUUAGAAGUUUUAACUUGCAUGAAACCAUUAAUAGCCUUGAAAGCUUUGAUGAGUUUUCAGUAAUAAUAAUCCAUGUAAUCUGAUGAUGAUGUGUUUGAAAAUAGUUUUCAGUAUCAGCAAAUUUGUAUACAGGGAAUGUAAAUAAGGGUAACUAUCAGAGCUAUCCACUGUAUUUAUAAAGAAGAGUUCGAAAAAACAAUGACUUCGUUUUUUUUAAGCCUGAUGAUGCUAUGGUUUACUCUAAUAAGAUAUUGUUAAUUAUAUUUUUGUUACUGUGCCCCUGCACAUGUUGGACCGUUUUUUGUUGACAUUUGUAUUAAUAACACGUAAUUAGUAACCACUCUACGCUUUCAAGUUAAUCUAGUCAUAAAGUUUACAUAUAUUUACAUAACUGCCAUUCCACUGCACUGAAUUUAUUUUACAACAAUGUAGAAUUCUUUAAAAGUUAACGUAGAACAUAUCCAAAAAGCAGUAUUUCUUUCCAUUGGUUGUGAGAGUACCUAAUUAUAUAAAUAUUACCUCAAAAAUACAUCCACUGGUAUCACACAGUUUUUCUAAGAUGUUUCUAUGUUCUGAAAGCUAAUAUUACGGACUAUUUUUCC